rnacentral:lncRNA from 1 species
UCAAACCUUAAAUCAAACUUUAAUGAAAACUUAAUGAAAUCAUUUUUAAAUCUUAAUAAAAUAUUAAUCAAAUUCUAAAUCCUAAUCUUAGAUCAAAUCCUAAUAAAAUCUUAUUCAAACCUUAAUUUUAUCCUAAUUCCUAAACUAAUCCCAAUGAAUCCUAAGAAAAAUUCUAAAUCUUAAAUAAAUUCUUAAUAAAACCUAUAGCAAAUUGGAAAUUCAAUAACUAAUGCUUAAAUUGUUUAAUUUGAUUUAAAUUUGUAAACUUUGCAACAACUAAGUUAACAACAAGCACAAAAUAUUUGAAGAAGAUUGCACAUAUCAAAUAAGUAAUAAUUCUUAAACUCCAC